CCUUUUCAACCAUAACAAACAUCCGUGUCCUGGCGUGAAAUGACAGCGCAGAAGAACCAGCCAAUUGGAAGACGCGUUAAAGCGCCGUCCAAUCACAGUUAUCGUUAGAUUCACACAGUUUCCGGGUCCCAGAUCACGUGAGCAAGAACAAGCAGUUAACCGAGCAGGAGUCAUUCAGGAAAAUGUGCAGCCUCCAGGUUUGAAGGUGUGGAGCGACCCUUUCUCUAAGAAGUAAAAUUGAACUUAAUCAAGUAUUCCACCUGUAAGGAGCUGUUGCCUUCAUGGAUUUUGUACAUAUGUAAUAAACUUUAGAAUUUUUGGCUUA